rnacentral:sRNA from 12 species
CGAGAGACGGCAUCCAAAUCAGCCUCUGGCUUUUCCCUGUAUGUUAGCAGUGACCGCAAGGUAGCGACUAAGAACUCGGACCGGUAGCGCCAGAGUUACCUGCAGUAUGGCGCUCCGGU